CGCAUGGCCUUGCGCCGGCGACGGUUCAUUCAAAUUUUCUGCCCCUAUCAACUUUCGAUGGUAAGGUAUUGGCUUACCAUGGUUUUCAACGGGUAACGGGGAAUUAGGGUUCGAUUCCGGAGAGGGAGCCUGAGAAACGGCUACCACAUCCAAGGAAGGCAGCAGGCGCGCAAAUUACCCAAUCCCGACUCGGGGAGGUAGUGACAAUAAAUACUGAUACAGGGCUCUUUUGGGUCUUGUAAUUGGAAUGAGUACAAUUUAAACCUCUUAACGAGGAACAAUUGGAGGGCAAGUCUGGUGCCAGCAGCCGCGGUAAUUCCAGCUCCAAUAGCGUAUAUUAAAGUUGUUGCAGUUAAAAAGCUCGUAGUUGAACCUUUGGCCUGGCUGGUGGGUCCGCCUCACCGCGUGCACUCGUCCGGCCGGGCCUUCUCUUCUGGAGAACCUCAUGCCCUUCACUGGGUGUGCUGGGGACCAGGACUUUUACUUUGAAAAAAUUAGAGUGUUCAAAGCAGGCCUUUGCUCGAAUACGUUAGCAUGGAAUAAUAGAAUAGGACGUGCGGUCCUAUUUUGUUGGUUUCUAGGACCGCCGUAAUGAUUAAUAGGGACAGUCGGGGGCAUCAGUAUUCAAUUGUCAGAGGUGAAAUUCUUGGAUUUAUUGAAGACUAACUACUGCGAAAGCAUUUGCCAAGGAUGUUUUCAUUAAUCAGUGAACGAAAGUUAGGGGAUCGAAGACGAUCAGAUACCGUCGUAGUCUUAACCAUAAAC
rnacentral:rRNA from 1 species